CCUACGCUGUAUAGUGGAUGUCUCGGCUUGGAAUCUGAUGAAGGGCGUGACAAGCUGCGAUAAGCUCCGGGUAGGUGCAAGUAACCGUCGAUCCGGAGAUCCCCGAAUGUGACAUCAUAACUCAAUUAAUAUUGAGUUGCUCCCAUAAUCUUUGAUGAGGGAGGAGGAACGUGCUGAAGCGAAGCAUCAUAAUAAGCGCUGGAAAAGAAAGCAAAUGCGAUUCCGUUAGUAACAGCGAGCGAAAGCGGAAAAGGUCAAACCGAAUCCCCACGCGAGAAGUGUGGGGAGAUGUGGAGUGUGGACUCGUGUCAAACCUAAACGAUAAAGAUGAACUACCCUGGAAUGUCUGACCAUAGAGGGUGAUAGUCCCGUAAUCGUAAAUCGUAAGGUUUAUGGCGAGUAUCCCGAGUAACGCGGGCUGGUUGCCUCGUGUGAAUACACCUGAUACCAACAGGUAAACCUAAAUAUAACCCAAGACCGAUAGCGUAUUAGUACCGUGAGGGAAAGAUGAAAAGCACCCAGGAAUGGUUGUGAAAAGUGCCUGAAACUAUACAGUAAAAAGUGAAGCGGUCCGAAAGAGUUUGAAUCUCCGUGAAGUCUAAGGUGUGAACCGGACGACGAAUGGAGACGAUCAGGAUUGCUUCUUUAUUCUAGAAACAUUAGCCAGGGAGCUCAUGUUAGUGGCGAGAUUAAGGAGAUAACCUCCGUAGUCGCAGGGAAACCAAUAUGCUUGUAAGUUCGAUUCGUCGAGCCCAGAAGCAUGGUGUGAAAGCGCCUAAAGUCACUGAUGUGAUGCCCGAAGUCGGACGAUCUAGGCCUGGUCAGGAUGAAGUGCUUCGAAAGGAGCAUGGAGGUCCGAUAUCGUUCUGACGUGCAAUUCGUUGAGUUGAACUGGGUCUAGGCGGAAAAGCCAAAUCUAGUCCGAGGAUGGCUGGUUCCCCCCGAAGCUGCUCAAAGGCAGGCCUCAGACGAGUGUGAACACGGUGUAGAGCACUAAUUCGCUUGGUACGGAUCAGAAAUGAUUCGCCGGCCUCUUAAACUCCGAAUCUGUGUUCCAUGUAGACUCUGGGAGACGGCUAACCCGCGAUAAGCGUGGGUGGCGAGAGAGAAACAACUCAGACUUCGGUUAAGGUCCCUAAGUGUUGUCUAAGUGUUAAACCGAAUGGCGUUAAAUUUCAAAGACAGUAAAAAGGUAGGCUCAGAAACAGCCACCCUAUAAUGAGUACGUAACAGUUCAUUUACUAAGAAAUUUAGCCCAGAAAAUGGACGGGGCUUAAGACAACCACCGAUACCGAAGGGUAUACUCGGCAGAGAGUAUAAUCCGGUAGGGGGGCGUGGGGCUCGAGAUAAAGCAGGACAGUAAUGCCCUGUGAAUCGUACCCCAGUGCAGAUCCUGGCAGUAGUAACAGCUGAGAUACGUGAAAAUCGUAUCCGCCGAAAGGCCAAGGGUUUCUUGGCAAUACGUCGUUAGCCAAGAGUUAGUCGGUCCUAAGUGCAUUCUUAAACGUCGUGCACGAAAGGGAAACAGAUUUAUAUUUCUGUACUUGGAGCCUAAGAAAAUUAUCGGCAACGAAAGAUGAAUUCGAGACGAAAGUGGAUAGCUCGAACAGGACUGUCGUUCCUGUUUAAAUGUAUACCUCCGGGAAGUGCCUUUACGGCGAGAACCGGACUAAAGCAUGAAUAGCCACCCUAUUGUGGGAGGUUCGAGGCAACUCCAAUUUCCAUUGAAAAUCGCAUUCAUAAUGAAUCUCCAAACCGUACCAAGAACCGACACAGGUGUGCCAAGGUGAGAAGCCUAAGGCGUGUGGAAGUAUAGAUUGUUAGGGAAAUCGGCAAAAUAGAGCGGUAACUUCGGAAUAACGCUUGCUUGGAAUCUUUGCGGUUAAACGCGGGGGAUUCUAAGUUGCAAUAACUAUGUGCACCCGACUGUUAAAUACAAACAUAGCUUUCUGCAAGACCGAAAGGUUGUGUACAGAAAGUGAAUCCUGCCCAGUGGUAGUCAGUCAAAACCGGGUUCAACCGGACUAAGCUCUACUAAACGGCGGGAGUAACUAUAACUCUCUUAAGGUAGCCAAAUGCCUUGUCGUGUAAGUUACGACGUGCAUGAACGGAUCAACGCGGUGCAUACUGUCCCAACAUUCUCUCCGUGAACCUACAGGACGGCGAACGGUCCGUCACGCACCGUUGGGAAGAGAAGACCCUAUGGAGUUUUACUGCAGCCAAUUCCUGAAGUAUUUUUUUAGAUGCAGAGUGUAGCUGGGAGCGGAGAUGCCGUGUUUUCGGACAUGGCGGAGCAACAAUGGAACACCAGCCUUCUAAAAGGAUAUUUCUAACUCGUCACUAGGUGGCGAGGACAUGUGUUGGUGGGCAGUUUCGGUGGGGCGCCAGACCUUGGAAAAGAUAUCCAAGGUACCCUAAGGUCAACUCAAUCGGAACAGAAACCCGAUGAAGAGUGGAAAGGCAAAAGUUGGCCUGAUGGGACCCUCGACAGCAAGGGGUCCCGAGACGAAAGUCUGGCUUAACGAUCCUUUACAGAAUUUUUGGUAGAUGGUAAAGGUGAUAGAAAAAUUACCCUAGGGGUAACAGAGUUGUCACGGGCAAGAGUCCAUAUCGACCCCGUGGCUUGCUUCCUCGAUGUCGGCUCUUCCUAUCCUGGCCGUGCACCAGCGGCCAAGGGUGGGGCUGUACGCCCAUUAAAAGGGAACGUGAGCUGGGUUUAGACCGUCGUGAGACAGGUCGGAUUCUAUCUAACGGUGCUGUUGGGAGUUUGAGAGCAACGUAUGUCCAGUACGAGAGGAACAACAUGCGGUCGCCUCUGGUGAGCAGUUGUCUGACAAGGCAUGCUGCACAGCUACGCGGCAAAUCAUAAGCGCUGAAAGCAUCUAAGCGCGAAGGAUGCCUCGAAAAGAGACUCCCAUUCAAGAACAGCAAUAUGUAGUGAGCACAAGUCUUGCCGGAUUUGUGUAAGUGAAAUAUACCGGGGACUGGUGACAGUAACCGGGGUUCAAGACGAGGACACGCGUAAAAGACGCGAUAGGUGAGAUAGGCGGUGUAAACACGGAGCAUUAGCGACGUGCGUAGCCGGCCAUUUUCAAUAGUCCGAGUG
rnacentral:rRNA from 1 species